GCUUCGAGGUAGAGACACAUCGCCCGUACCAAAACCGACACAGGUAGGCGGGGAGAGAAUCCUAAGGUGCGCGGGAAAACCCUCGUUAAGGAACUCGGCAAAAUGCCUCCGUAACUUCGGGAAAAGGAGGACUCAUGUAGUGUGAAGGGCAGUAACGCGUGGAGCAUGAAUGAGUGGCACAAGAGAGGCGCAAGCGACUGUUUACCACAAACACAGGUGCCUGCUAAAGCGAAAGCUGAUGUAUAGGUGCUGACACCUGCCCGGUGCUGGAAGGUUAAGAGGAGGGGUUAGACUUCGGGUCGAAGCUCUGAAUUGAAGCCCCAGUAAACGGCGGCCGUAACAAUAACGGUCCUAAGGUAGCGAAAUUCCUUGUCGGGUAAGUUCCGACCCGCACGAAAGGUGUAACGACUUGCGCACUGUCUCAACGAGGGACCCGGUGAAAUUGAAGUACCUGUGAAGAUGCAGGUUACCCGCGACUGGACAGAAAGACCCCAUGGAGCUUUACUGCAACCUAAGAUUGAACUUAGUUAAUGAAUGUACAGGAUAGGUGGGAGACGUAGAACCUAGGACGCUAGUUUUAGGGGAGUCGCUGUUGGGAUACCACCCUUUCAUUAAUUGAUUUCUAACGGGCCGAGUAACGACCGGCCGGACAGUCUUAGGCGGGCAGUUUGACUGGGGCGGUCGCCUCCUAAAGAGUAACGGAGGCGCCCAAAGGUUCCCUCAGAGCGGACGGAAAUCGCUCGAAGAGUGUAAAGGCAGAAGGGAGCUUGACUGCGAGACGGACAGGUCGAGCAGGGACGAAAGUCGGGCUUAGUGAUCCGGUGGUGCCGAGUGGAAGGGCCAUCGCUCAACGGAUAAAAGCUACCCUGGGG
rnacentral:rRNA from 1 species